rnacentral:rRNA from 1 species
AUUGCACGCUGGCGGCAGGCCUAACACAUGCAAGUCGAGCGAGCGGCGGGCGGGUGAGUAAUGUAUGGGGAUCUGCCUGAUGGAGGGGGAUCACUACUGGAAACGGUAGCUAAUACCGCAUACCAUCGGAUGGUCCCGAAGGGGAUUAGCUAGUAGUUGGGGUAAAGGCUCACCUAGGCGACGAUCCCUAGCUGGUCUGAGAGGAUGACCAGCCACACUGGAAAUGAGACACGGGCCAGAAUACGACGGGAGGCAGCAGUGGGGAAUAUUGCAAAAUGGGCGCAAGCCUGAUGCAGCCAUGGCGCGUGUGUGAAGAAGGCCUUCGGGUUGUAAAGUACUUUCAGCGGGGAGGCGUUACCCGCAGAAGAAGCACCGGCUAACUCCGUGCCAGCAGCCGCGGUAAUUC